GUCGAGAAUAAUUCACAAUGGACGAAAGUCUGAUGGUGCAACGCCGCGUGGAGGAUGACGGUCUUCGGAUUGUAAACUCCUGUCAUCCGGGAGUAAGACCUGGCUGUGAAUAGCAGACAGGGUUGAUAGUACCGGAAGAGGAAGGGACGGCUAACUUCGUGCCAGCAGCCGCGGUAAUACGAAGGUCCCGAGCGUUGUUCGGAAUCACUGGGCGUAAAGGGAGCGUAGGCGGCUUGGUAAGUCAGAUGUGAAAUCCCGGGGCUCAACCCCGCAACUGCAUCCGAUACUGCCGUGAUAGAUGAUUGGAGAGGUAACUGGAAUUCUUGGUGUAGCAGUGAAAUGCGUGGAGAACAAGAGGAACACUCGUGGCGAAAGCGAGCUACUGGACAAUAUCUGACGCUGAGGCUCGAAGGCCAGGGUAGCGAAAGGGAUUAGAUACCCGAGUAGUCC
rnacentral:rRNA from 1 species